GACGAACGCUGGCGGCGUGCCUAAUACAUGCAAGUCGAACGCAGUGGGGACGGGUGAGUAACACGUGGGUAACCUCCCAUCAGAGGGGAUAACACUUGGAAACAGGUGCUAAACCGAUACUGAUGGAUGGACCCGCGGUGCAUUAGCUAGUUGGGGAGGUAACGGCGCACCAAGGCCACGAUGCAUAGCCAACCGGGGAGGGGAUGCGGCCACACUGGCACGGAGACAAGGCCAAGCAUCCGACGGGAGGCAGCAGUAGGGAAUCGUCGGCAAUGGACGAAAGUAGGACCGAGCAACGCCGCGUGAGUGAAGAAGUGAUGCGGAUCGUAAAACUCUGGUGUUAGAGAAGCGGUAUCUAACCAGAAAGCCACGGCUAACUACGUGCCAGGAGCCGCGGUAAUAC
rnacentral:rRNA from 1 species